UAGUAUAUAGAACUUCAUGAUAGUACCGAGGUAAAUGACAUGGCCAACUUUCAUUUUGGACCUGGUGGCUUUGAACUUGAAGAGGACGAAGAUGACUAUGAUGGAUUUGUUUUGGAUAACGAUUAUGGCCAAGCGUUUAAACCCACCCAAAGUGAUCCGGUCAAAACAAACCCAUCGAGUGCUGCCCCAAGAGGUGGCUUCGGACAACCAAGUAAAAAACAGACACCUCAAGAACCAGAGAGGAAGUUCCGAUAUGCUAGUGACCUGAAAAAUGAGGCUGAAACAUUACCUCUCAAUGUUGGUGACUUCCAAAUGGCUAUUGUUAGGGGCCAUGGACAUGUCGUCCAGCAGUAUUUGAGCAACGGGUUCGGGGUGGAUGAAGUACUGAAAAGUGGUUGGACGGGACUUAUGUAUGCAGCCAGCAAUGCAAAUUUGGAAAUCACAUCUCUGUUGCUUGACAAAGGGGCGGAUCCAAACUCUCAUAAAGAUAUGUACACAGUGCUGAUGGCAGCCUGUGGUGCAGGGGGAUACAGUGAGGCAGACGUACUGGCAGUGGUGAACCUGCUGCUAGACAGGGGGGCAGAAGCUUCAGCAUUUGAUAGGUACCACACGACUCCGCUGAUGUACGCUGCCAGAGAGGGGAGACCACUUGUGAUCGAGAGACUCGUGCAAGCAGGGGCCGAUGUGAACAGGCAGGAUAGAAGAGGCCUCACUGGUCUGACAUGGGCUGUAACCAAGGGACACAAGGCGGCAGCCCGAGCGUUGAUGCAGCUGAAAGCAGAUCCCUUAAAGAAACAUGGAGACGGACAGACAGUCAUUGACCUUGCAGAACUGAAUGAUGAUUUAGAGAUGUUGGAGAUCCUCGAGGGCAAGAAAAGGGACUCAACUCUUGUCUCCGCGCCAACUAUACCUGCAGCUCGGCCAAAACCAGUCUCAUCGAGGAGCAGUAACAGUCUGAAGGACAGUUGUGGUACAACCUAUGGGGAGCUGGAGCUGUUCUUAUGUGGACUAGACCUGAGCGGUCUCAUUGACAUGAUUCGAGAUCAGCACAUCGACUUCAACACCUUCCUGAAAAUGAGUGAGGAGGAUCUGAUCAAGAUUGGCAUCUCCCAGCUGGGUGUACGUAAGAAGAUAAUGGACGGUAUACACAGCGUUCACAAGAGGGAGUGGGAGAAGUCCAGCCUGCCUACCCUGCAGUACAACAAGCAGGUGAGUUGCGGAGAAGCCCUGGCUAUUGUAGCUAACAUAUCAAAGCACACAAAGUACAUUACCACCACGAUGGACUACCUCAAGAGCCAGAUCUCCAAAAAUCCCAAGAUACUGGAACAGUUACAGGACGGUACAGGACCCAAGCAGCUUCAGCAGCACACGGUGGACACUCUAACCAAUGUGACCGCCUUACAACACACUCUGGACUCACUGAAGACGAAGUUAACAAACAUGAUAGAGCGCGGGAACUACGACCCUCCUGAUGUUCUUCAUGAUCCCACGCCACCUCAGAAGACCCGACGUUGGUCGUCAAUCUCUGUACUGGUUGGUGUGGUAGUGUCAGGAGUUGUUGUGUGGAGAACUCUUGUGUUGUGGAGAUAUGGGAAUAUACUUCAUGGAAUUACUGGAAAUCGGACGUAAUAUUGGUCAUCAGUGUUGUGUUGCUUUAAGUGAAGUAUUUGCUGAGAGUUAUACAAGCUCCAGUGAUGCCUAAAAUGGAUUUUCACUAUAAAUAGACUUCUUUUAAAAGGAAAAUACCCUUCAACAGGAAAGUGAUGUCCUUGAUUAGCCUCUCAGGCUGCACAGGCUUGUGAUGUCCUUGAUUAGCCUCUCGGGCUGCACAGGCUAAGUGAUGUCAGUGAUAAGCCUCUCAGUGAUGUCCUUGAUUAGCCUCUCGGGCUGCACAGGCUAAUGAUGUCCUUGAUUAGCCUCUCGGGCUGCACAGGCUAGUGAUGUCCUUGAUUAGCCUCUCGGGCUGCACAGGCUAGUGAUGUCCUUGAUUAGCCUCUCGGGCUGCACAGGCUAGUGAUGUCCUUGAUUAGCCUCUCGGGCUGCACAGGCUAGUGAUGUCCUUGAUUAGCCUCUCGGGCUGCACAGGCUAGUGAUGUCCUUGAUUAGCCUCUCGGGCUGCACAGGCUAGUGAUGUCCUUGAUUAGCCUCUCGGGCUGCACAGGCUAAGUGAUGUCAGUGAUAAGCCUCUCAGUGAUGUCCUUGAUUAGCCUCUCGGGCUGCACAGGCUAAUCUGCAUCAACACUUUACACAAAAGAAUUUAAACCUGUUAACCCAAACAAAAGCUCAUAUUUUUGUUAGCAAAACAAUGUUUAUCAUUUGUUCAAUUGGGAUAAUGCUAUGUUUUGGCAUAUUAUUACAAGAAUGAGAGGUAUUUUCCACAGCCAGUAGUACGAAUACCAAUUUUAGUACUGUAGAUGGCCAUUAAAAAACAAAUACUUAUUAUUGUAGAGCCAAAAUUCAGAACUUUGAACCCUAGUAAGUGUUUGCAUUUACCUGGACAGGACCUCUCAAUAGGCUCAUUAUCAAUACAUUUGUACUUGAAGCAACUAACAGAUCAACCAAUCAGAUAACGUAUAUUGCAGUUACAUAACCUGAUAAACAAAGACUCUCAGAGUAACAGAAAAAAACGUUUUAUAAGCAGUAUCAUGUAACAAUAUGUCUUAUGCCAUAUGCAGCUAUCUCAAGAUAGCUAUCCUGUCUGCUGUAAGGUCAUGCAAGGUUUUGUGGUCUUGUAAGUGGCCAAUUGGUCAAUGGCACAGAGUCUCUGGAACUUGGUGCUCUCAACAUUAUGGCGUCCCACUCAGAUUUGAUUGAGCCCCAUUCGUCGGAUCUAAGUUUAAACAUCCUUUUUUUGUGUUGCGACUCCAUAUUCUAUUAAUAUAUUUCUUAUCAUGAAAUGAAUGUCAUAAAAUGAAAUACACAACUUUUCUAAAAUGUUAGAUGGUUAUCCAAUUGCACGUAUUUUGGAGCUGUAACUAACUCGCCUACACAAUUACUAAUUCAAUUUUUCAAAAUAUCAAAGCCAUAUGAUAAAAUGGGGUCCAUUUCUAUUUCAAAUACAGAAAUACUUUUGUAAUUUGAAGUUUAAUCAUGUUUUGAUACAAUACCCGCUGCAUUCCAUGUCAUGGGUUGUAUGUUAGACAUAAGAAACUUGAAACUUUGUAGAACUUAAAAUAUCUUUCAUACCCAGUGUAUGUUGAUGACUCUCUGAAUUUAUCAUUUGAAACAUGUUUAGCUUUUAUCAGUGCAUAUAAUUAAAAAUAAUAAGCAGCUUGCAAUUUUGUUUGUGUAUUAUUGAGUUCUCAUUUAUUUAUGAGUCAUAUAUAUUCUGCUUUGUGCAAAAAAAUAUUGAAAUAUUAAACUUGCAUCUAUAUGUCAUAGUAUACUUAUUAGCAAUAGAAGUAAUGUUUUAGUUACCUCCCAUACACCAGUCUCCAGUCUUGUUUUGUCAUAUCUUACCACAACUUGUAUAGGUGAACAAUAUCAACUCUAUAUUGUGGUUGUCUCCCCUGAACUAUCUGUCAAAUUAUUCAUUAUUCAUAUUUGGUACAUACACCAGGCCUAAGUGCAAAAGCUAAUAUGAUGAGGUAUUUCCAGUUUUAAAUUUGGCAAGUCGAAAACUACAAAAAAUAUUUUUCUAAAAGAUGUUGAUACACAAAAUGAUGCAGGGCUGGAAUAAAUGCCACCUUUAAGAGAAAAGAUGGGCCACAAGAAAUUUUUAUUACAAAACACUGUUUUGUUUGCUGUUUUGGUUUGUUCAUUCCAUAAAAAUUUAUAUAUAAGCUUAAAAUGUGUAAACUCCAUCAAGCUGUUUUUGCAUGAAUAUUGUUUUUUCGACCAAAAUCAUUCACCUUACAUUAUCAUGAUUGUGCUUUUCUCAAAAUCACAAACAAAAUUCACAUCCUCAAUUUCUGAUUGAUUAUUGUUUAAGCUGAUGUUAUCACCAUUGUAUUGUAACAAUUAUAUGUAUAGUCUUCUUUACAACCUUGUGAAAUCAUAGGUGUGUUUCUUAAAUGUUAAGCUUCAAUAUUGAAGCUCAUUAUCAACACAUUGGUAAUUUUAAGCAAUUCUUUAAAGCAUUGAUUUCUUUCAUGUAUAUGAUUUUUUCCUUCACAGUGAACAGUAGGGAUUUUUUAUUAGACUUCUUGUUUAUCUUACUGAUGAUGUUGCCAUUAGUUUAUUGCUUUGUAUUAUGUCUGACCUUGACAGUGCUUUUUUCUGAAAUUAUUUCUGGCUUUACAAGUACCUUAGUGAAAUUUAUAACGACCAAGUUAUUUUAGAGCUAAGGUGUUAGGGACAUGUUGAGUCAUAUUUUUUAUCCAAAAAUAAGUGAAAAAUUGUUUGCUAGGUCUAGUUUGAAAAAAUCUGUACAGAAUAGGGAUGGAGGGGGUUUUCCAUCUAUGUAAAUGUCUUUGAUACAUGAAUAAGUUUUUGACUGUAGAAACAAAAUGUAUUUUCAAUUUUUCAAGUUUAAUUUUGUAGAUCUUUUGGUACAAUUUCUUCUGAAUUCUAUUUUAGUUUGUCAUUCAUCAACAUUUUAUAUUUUUUUACUUGUGUGUCUGAAAAAGCACAUGGACCCUUUUUAACAUUUUUUAUUCAGAUACUGAGAAACAAUGUGUCAUUCUUAUUAAAUUAUGUAUGUUUAAAACUUUUGAUUUUAUUAUUAGUCUUACAAGUACAUGUACAUUCACAUUUGAUUUGGUUGCCUCCCUUCUAUUAACUCUAUUUUAUAAAUUUUACAAUUAUCAGCAUUAAAUUACUUCACUGUAAGAUGUUUAAGUUAUUUUAUCCAAUAAUGACCUUGAAUACCAUUUUCUCAAAUGUGUUGAGUAGAAUCAACAAAUUUUGUUUAUAUUAUAUUUGUAUGCAACAUAUUUGUGCACAUCUUAACUUUUGUGUUUACUUGUUUGAACAUGUAAAAUCUUGUUAAUACAAAGGAAAAUGUUGAUUUUUGGUUUCUACAUUAAUGUAUAUACAUAUAAAAAUGAAAGCCCUUGCUUGUAAUCUUCCUUAUAACCCUUUGCAUGCUGGGAAAUUUGUCGUCUGCUAAAAUGUCGUCUGCUGAAUUUCUAAAAAUAGCAUUUUCUUCGAUUUUUUU